AGUGAACGCUGGCGGUAGGCCUAACACAUGCAAGUCGAACGGCAGCACAGUAAGAGCUUGCUCUUACGGGUGGCGAGUGGCGGACGGGUGAGGAAUACAUCGGAAUCUACUUUUUCGUGGGGGAUAACGUAGGGAAACUUACGCUAAUACCGCAUACGACCUACGGGUGAAAGCAGGGGAUCUUCGGACCUUGCGCGAUUGAAUGAGCCGAUGUCGGAUUAGCUAGUUGGCGGGGUAAAGGCCCACCAAGGCGACGAUCCGUAGCUGGUCUGAGAGGAUGAUCAGCCACACUGGAACUGAGACACGGUCCAGACUCCUACGGGAGGCAGCAGUGGGGAAUAUUGGACAAUGGGCGCAAGCCUGAUCCAGCCAUACCGCGUGGGUGAAGAAGGCCUUCGGGUUGUAAAGCCCUUUUGUUGGGAAAGAAAAGCAGCAGGUUAAUACCCCGCUGUUCUGACGUUACCCAAAGAAUAAGCACCGGCUAACUUCGUG
rnacentral:rRNA from 1 species